GUUUAGGACUAGAAACUUGGCACUGGAUUCCAAAGAACAACAUGGGAUUUUUCUUUCUCUUCCCUCUCUCGCUUAUAAAUGAGGGCACAGCUGGGUUCUGUGAUAAAAUGCCCAACUCCACCUGCUCUAGAUGUUGCAAAGGUAAGUUUGGGCUCCUAUAAUUCUGCUCUGUGACACACCUGCUUCUGCAGCUCCUUCCUGGGGUGGGGAGUGGGGUGGGGACACCUGAUCAUAGGGUGAGCAAGCGGCUCACCAGGACCGAGGGGGUUUCAGGGAGGUGGGACUUUCAGUGCUAAAACCCAGAAUGUGCUGGCCCAACCAGGAUAAGUUGAUCACCCUCCCUGAGAGUUUGGGAUUCUAUGAGGACUCCUGUCUAGAGUGCAGCGCCACUGCGAGGGUGGUCCUUUAUUGUCAGAAACCUCAUUCCCAGAAGGAGACAUGCAGUGGAAACUGAGCGUCCUCUGCCCUGCGGUGCCCAGCUCCAUUCAAGGCAAGCUUGGUCCCUCUGGCUUUCACGGGGAUGUGAACACCUUGCCAGGCUCCUCUCUGCUCCUUCCUCACUCCUUGGCACUGGCCUUGGCAUCCUCUAGCUGAGCCCAGGUCCUGUCCCUGAAGAGCUGCCGCCCCAGCCCCACUGCCAGCACAACCCCUCCCACCCCACCUGUCCCAGGGCCACCUGUGCUCACUUCGGCUCUAUCUCUGCUUGGGGGCCACUCUAACACUGGUUCUCUUUUCACCUUAAAAAGAGUUGCUGGAACCAAACCCCAGUGACUUGUCAGCAUUCACGCCACUCCUUCCAAACCCUCCAGAAAGCACACCUGUGGAUGAGAGGCGCAAUUAACGUUAUCAGUCGUGAAGGAUCAGAAGGAAAACCCAGUGGCCGUUGGGAAUUUAGAGAUGGUGUUUCGCCAUGUUGGGCAGACUAGACUCGAACUCCUGACCUCAAGUGAUCUACCCACCUUGGCUUCCCAAAGUGCUGGAAUUCCAGGUGUGAGCCACUGUACCCAGCCCACUUCAAAUUUACCACUCCAGACCUUUGUUCUAGAUGGGGAGAACUGGACCCUAUGGGAAAUCAUACGGAUCUGAAAUUCACCCCGGAAACUGACCUGGGGUGAGGACAACAGGUGGAAUGAAACCCCAAGCAGACCCUAUAGAGGCAAGGAAGGAGAUUGAGACCCUUCUGCAGAAAGCUGUUAUGAGCCUAGAAUUUUAACUUAUGCUAUUGACACCAUGCCAAGCACCCAAGGAAAAGGAAAGAGAAGAACCUACACCGCCUCCUCCUUGCUAGUGAGUGAGGUAAAAUGAUCUGGGGAGGAAAAAAAACAAAAAAAAUGAGGUGAGAAACACCAGAUGGAGCAGAGAGACUGCCCAGAAAUUGCUGCUUUUGUCAACCUAGAUUUGUUUGCAGGUGAGUGCAGUGUUGAUAGAAAGCAAGUCUAUUUCCAGAGGGGAUCCCCAGGAUCUCCUAUCAAAGAGCAAGCUCUGGAGCUAGUCCCCAGAUGCAGACAGAUCUACUGACCGAACCACGAUCACUCCAACCCCAAUCUCCCAAGAGGUUCUGAGGAUACAAUAGUUCUCAAUCCUUAGGUACACACAUUGUUCACAGGGAGUGACUCGGUGGUUAUUAAUGGCUUAUUAGGCUGUUCUUGGAGGUAAUUUACAUCUCGUUUGAGCCUCUGCUUUUCAGGCAUUUUUCUGCAAAUGGCUGUAGGCUUUUUUCUAAAAAAAAAAAAAGAAACUAAAUCCAUUGAAUACUCAUGCAUAUUCUCCAAAAUGCCUUAAAUCAGUACCUAAAACUUGAAACUAGUUUUUCCCCCAUUGAAGAAAUUAUCUGGCCCUGAUCUCUCUUACUUGCUGUCCUGUGAUUGAAAAGAACUUUUGUGGGGGAAUUUUUAAAAUAAUUGCCACCAAAUACUUCAAAUGGAAUUCAGAUAGCAGUCUAUUUCACGUUUCAUGCUUUUGUGACAUUCUUGCUCAGGAAUGAAUCUUUUAUGAAAGGUCUAUUUUAAGUUGCACCUUCCAGAACUUUAUUUUUGUCUCUGAAAGAAAGAGGCAGAGCAGAACCUGGAUUCUUCCAAUUCACCGAUUUACUGUGAGCUUAGGAUUGGCUCUCCUGGGGGUCGGCGGGGUGGGGGGUGAUGGGCUUCCAGC
rnacentral:lncRNA from 1 species